rnacentral:other from 4 species
AGCUGGCUUUGCUGUUCAAGAUUUUUCUUUAAGAUUUCGGCUAAGUCAUUUUUAAAGGGAGUCCUACAUUGCUUAUCGCCGUGGCGGUGAGUUGCGGACACCCACUUGGAAAUUUGGCGAAAAUCUUAUUGGAAUCCUCUUGGCAGCGAGGCCUUUAU